rnacentral:rRNA from 1 species
CAUCGAGACUCCUACGGGAGGCAGCAGUAGGGAAUCUUGGACAAUGGGGGGCAACCCUGAUCCAGCCAUGCCGCGUGUGUGAAGAAGGCCCUAGGGUUGUAAAGCACUUUCAGUAGGGAGGAAGGCUUCGGGUUAAUACCUUGGAGUACUUGACGUUACCUACAGAAGAAGCACCGGCUAAUUUCGUGCCAGCAGCCGCGGUAAUACGAAAAGGUGCGAGCGUUAAUCGGAAUUACUGGGCGUAAAGCGCGCGUAGGCGGUUUGUUAAGUCAGAUGUGAAAGCCCCGGCUCAACCUGGGAAUUGCAUUUGAAACUGGCAAGCUAGAAUGCAGUAGAGGGAGGUGGAAUUUCCGGGUGUAGCGGUGAAAUGCGUAGAGAUCGGAAGGAACACCAGUGGCGAAGGCGGCCUCCUGGACUGACAUUGACGCUGACGGUGCGAAAGCGUGGGGAGCAAACAGGAUUAGAUACCCUGGUAG